UACGUAGGGGGCAAGCGUUGUCCGGAAUCAUUGGGCGUAAAGCGCGUGUAGGCGGCCCGAUAAGUCCGCUGUGAAAGUCCAGGGCUCAACCCUGGAAUGCCGGUGGAUACUGUCGGGCUAGAGUGCGGAAGAGGCGAGUGGAAUUCCUGGUGUAGCGGUGAAAUGCGCAGAUAUCAGGAGGAACACCGGUGGCGAAGGCGGGAUCCUGGGCCAGUACUGACGCUGAGGAGCGAAAGCGUGGGGAGCAAACAGGG
rnacentral:rRNA from 1 species